GGCCCGGGGUAAUCCUAGCAAACGCAUCGUGAUGGGGGAUAGAAUUAUUGCAAUUAUUAGUCUUCAACGAGGAAAUGCCUAGUAAGCGCAAGUCAUCAGCUGCGUUGAUUACGUCCCUUGCCCUUUGUACACACCGCCCGUCGCUCCUACCGAUUGGGUGUGCUGGUGAAGUGUCCGGAUUGGGUUCAGCUGAUGGCAACAUCGGCUGUUUCUAAGAAGGUCAUUAAACCCUCCCACCUAGAGGAAGGAGAAGUCGUAACAAGGUUUCCGUAGGUGAACCUGCGGAAGGAUCAUUG
rnacentral:rRNA from 1 species